rnacentral:lncRNA from 13 species
GUUCUUCAAGCUCUCAGAGCCCUUCCACAGAAAAAGAAGCAUUCGCUCUGUGCAGCUAGGAAUCCAGCUUUUAAUUCUAUCUUUUCUUGUGUUUACAUAAACUUUCAUUUGCAUUUCAGGAGCCUUAUGGAAAGAUUCCUGUGACUGACCCGGGAGUAGUGGUGAAUUUCUCCAUCAAGAUCCUGACUGCUACAGCAUGUAAAGUCCCUGGCAUGCCUGGCUCCCUCCACACAAUGCCUGCCAAUGUCUUCCUCAAACCUUGCUUGGCUACAGGGUGUUGUUCGCAGUCAAGGAGAAAAGUCCUGACCUUGAUAUCCGGAAUCUGGACCACAAUGUAGAACCUUUGAAAAAGUGGGAAAAUAACAGUCCCCAAAGUAGAAGAAUAACAUCCACAGCUUUCUUGGAAAUUCUGCACUGAAAGCGAACCUGUAAUAAGUAUGGUUUAUGUCCAUUGCUCUUAUAUGUUGUCCCCCUGUAUACUGCCAACUGCAGCACUGUCUUGUUCCUCAUCCUGUGUUUUAGAUGACUGCUGAGUCCUCUAACAUAUGUGUGAUGAUUAAUACUGUGUCAACUUAAUUGGAUUGAAAGACAAAGUAUUAAUCCUGGGUGUGUCUGUGAGGGUGUUGCCAAAGAAGAUUAACGUUUGAAUGAGUGGGCUGGGAAAGGCAGACCCACCCUUAAUCUG